rfam:Schistosoma rodhaini strain Burundi genome assembly, scaffold: SROB_scaffold0000540
AGCUUUUUGAAUCCGUGCGGAGAUUUCAUCACAAACCGAUUUAUUAGGGCUGAUCAAACUUCCAAGAUAAGUGAAGUU